UCCAGAGUUAGAAUAACCCAUUAAGAGCAUAGAAGAACUUAGGGUUUCGGUUUUGGGUUUCCCGGGAUUAGGGUUUUAAUCAUGUAACUUACCCGGUUUCAAAAUGUGAUUAGGGCAUCCAUCUAGCACGAGAUUUCCGUUCAGGUCGGCCAGCAUACUUGAAUUCGGAAAUCAGAUAAGAACUGUGUAUAAUGUGUGAUAUGGAUAUUCGAAUGUAUGUAUGUGUUAAUGUAUAUACAUGCUUAUUUGUUGUGAUUCAUACACUACCAACACUUGUACGGUUGCGGUACAAAGUGCAUUGGUAAGGUGUAAAAUGUUUGGAAGUACAUCACGGUGUUACCAGCACUUGUACGAGAAGGUACAAGGUGUCUGUGGUACAACACUUGACGGUACUCAAAGUGCGAUCCAUACCCUACCUACACUAGUACGAUGGUAUACUGAGUGCAUGUGGUACAUGGUAAAGGAAAGGCGAAGGCUGAACAGGAGUGAACCUGAGCUCGGGUGGGAUUGUACAUGUCAAAGCAGCGCGACCUGGAGUGUUCGGUCUCGGGACAUCUGGGGAUUGUAUUUUGAUAGUCGCUGUGCGACCUGUAAUAAAUACAUAUUUUGAAAAGUUAAUUUUACAAAGUUUGAAAACGGGAUCCCGGCACUUGUAAAUAUUUUAUUAUAUUACAAAGUUUAAUAUUUAAUGCAAAAGUUUUAAUUUGACA